UACGGGGGGGGCAAGCGUUGUUCGGAAUUACUGGGCGUAAAGGGCUCGUAGGCGGCCAACUAAGUCGGAUGUGAAAUCCCCAGGCUUAACCUGGGAACUGCAUCCGAUACUGGAUGGCUUGAAUCCGGGAGAGGGAUGCAGAAUUCCAGGUGUAGCGGUGAAGUGCGUAGAUAUCUGGAGGAAUACCGGUGGCGAAGGCGGCAUCCUGGACCGGCAUUGACGCUGAUGAGCGAAAGCUAGGGGAGCAAACGGG
rnacentral:rRNA from 1 species